rnacentral:rRNA from 1 species
AACGAACGCUGGCGGCAGGCUUAACACAUGCAAGUCGAGCGCCCCGCAAGGGGAGCGGCAGACGGGUGAGUAACGCGUGGGAAUCUACCCAUCUCUACGGAAUAACGCAUGGAAACGUGUGCUAAUACCGAAUACGUCCUUCGGGAGAAAGAUUUAUCGGAGAUGGAUGAGCCCGCGUUGGAUUAGCUAGUUGGAGGGGUAAAGGCCUACCAAGGCGACGAUCCAUAGCUGGUCUGAGAGGAUGAUCAGCCACACUGGGACUGAGACACGGCCCAGACUCCUACGGGAGGCAGCAGUGGGGAAUAUUGGACAAUGGGCGCAAGCCUGAUCCAGCCAUGCCGCGUGAGUGAUGAAGGCCCUAGGGUUGUAAAGCUCUUUCACCGGUGAAGAUAAUGACGGUAACCGGAGAAGAAGCCCCGGCUAACUUCGUGCCAGCCGCCGCCGUAAAAC